UACAGAGGGGGCAAGCGUUUAUUCGGAAUUAUUGGGCGUAAAGGGCGCGUAGGCGGCUUUGCAAGUGACGGGUGAAAUCCCCCGGCUUUAACCGAGGAACUGCCUGUCAAACUGCAUGGCUUGAGACCAGGAGAGGUGAGUGGAAUUCCCAGUGUAGCGGUGAAAUGCGUAGAUAUUGGGAGGAAUACCAGUGGCGAAGGCGGCUGCCUGGCCUGUUCUUGACGCUGAGGCGCGAAAGCUGGGGGAGCAAACGGG
rnacentral:rRNA from 1 species